GUCUUGGAUAAGUCUAAUAUACUCAUUCCCACAUAGCACGGUUUAUUCAGAGUUAGAACUUCCUUCAUUCUCUUUACCACAAUUAAGUUCUCAUUCAUAAUCCUAUGCGACUGGAAGCACGGCGAUGCUGUAAGUUUUAGGAGGUCAUUUUCCGAUGACACUAAUUUUACAUCAACUCUCUUCCUCAAAUUUUCCAUAGUCUUUCCGUAGAUGGAAUUGUUCAUAAGUUUGAAGAAGUUUUUCUCGAACGCAUUUUUAGCUACUGACCGUUUUUGAGUAUUGAAGUCAAUAUAGUUUUUCAGCCAAGUUGACUGCUUGAAGGAGACUGCUCUAUGGAUCUUCGUAAGUUUUAUUCCAAGCUCCAUGUAGAGUUUCAGAUUGCGGGCAUGUAGGACGUAGUUCUUCCUGGGACCUAGCGAGUUCACCAGUUUUCUUACUCCUCCAAUCGUAAGCUGGAAUUUCUCAGCAAUACUCUUUGCGUAGUCCGACAACAUUGAGGCAUCUAUUUCCUUGCUCUCCG